CUUUGUUUGGUUGCAUAUUUUUGCACGACAAAGCUUUUCGUUUGUUGUGGGUUUUUUUUCUUUGCUGGUUCACAUUUUAAUAAAGUAUGAUGAACCCAAAUCACGCUGCGCCUUGGUCUCCCGUUACAAUUGAUGAGCUGCAUGAAUAGCCAAACAGAGCCGUGGGCUCAGAGCACUUUGGCUGCAGCUUGGCGGUGGGAGAAUGGCUUCCGUCCAGCUGAGAUAAUGGAAUUGGUGUGUUCUCCCUGGUAUGCGCUCCUGACUGGAGUCAGUUCUGUUAAUAGCAGGAGCUUCAACUCGCAGACCCCUACUCUGGCUUGGGCGGCACAUGGGGAGGAAAGAGGAGAGCAGUACAUGAGGCAGUGAGAGAUUUGGAAGCUGAUCUGAGGAUGUUCCCUGAUGUCUCAAGCUAGGCAUCUCCGGGUGCCAUAUGGCAACGGCUGUGUAUGGAAUAGAGAGAGUGUGGUAAACGGGCCACAUUAAACCGAGCUAUGUGUGACACUUCACAGCCAGAGUCUCCCUCCUCUUUGUAGUCAUUAUUGUAUGAAAGUGCUGACCAAAGCGAUUGCACCGCAGCCUGUGAUCUCAAACACUAGGACAUGUUCACCUGUCUUUUGUGGAUGAAAACAUUGACAUCUGCAAAAACAAAACCAGAAGUAAAAAGUCGGCUGUAUACGCAAGAAGGGGAACAGAGAUUAUUAGCGGUUGUGUUCGUUGUUAUGUUAUGUAGUUAUAUGCUCAGUCAUACAUUCUUCAUUUAAAUAAUACACACCCCAGGAAUAUAUUAUUGCAUGAAGAACAACACAUCACUAUUUUAAUGUUUAUUUUGCAUGUGACCUUCUGUGAAUAAUGGAUAUUGUUAAUGGAGCAAAAUAAUCUAACAUUGUUUCCACAUUAUAAUGACAAUAACUUUAAGAAAAUACUCAUAUAUACUUUCAUGGACAGUGCAUCUCAUUUCAUAAAGUGUACAUUGCUGCUGGCUCCGUACUGAAACUGAAGUGUACCACUUGAGAGUACUAAUCGCCUCCUAAGCAUGUCUGGUGAGUGUUUCUCUGUGCAUCAAUGUGCCUGGUGAUGGUCUGUCUAAUGUGAGUGCUAUGGCUAUGCCUGUGAGUCCCUCCUCACUACACUCAUCUGGUCGCUUCAUUGCACCCUAGGAAAUAUUUCAUGAUCUCUAAGUGACUAAAACACACUGUGAGCAUUUUUGAU
ensembl:lncRNA